UACGUAGGGGGGCGAGCGUUGUCCGGAAUUAUUGGGCGUAAAGCGCGCGCAGGCGGUUUUUUAAGUUCGUGGUGAAAGACCGGGGCUCAACCCCGGAGCGUCCGCGAAGACUGGAAGACUGGAGUGUCGGAGAGGAGUGCGGAAUACCUGGUGUAGCGGUGGAAUGCGUAGAGAUCAGGUGGAACACCGAUGGCGAAGGCAGCACUCUGGCCGAAUACUGACGCUGGAGGCGCGAAAGCGUGGGGAGCGAACAGG
rnacentral:rRNA from 1 species